rnacentral:misc_RNA from 1 species
UUUCCGUAGGUGAACCUGCGGAAGGAUCAUUAAAAAAUGUGGUACCGAUUGUUGGUACUAAUUAAUCAUCCUACCCUUUGUGAAUUUGUUUGUAGAAUUUUUUUAAAUGGGUCUUUCCCUAAGUUGGAUUGUAGUAAAAUACAAAAAGACUUAGGGAAUGACUUUUUAAAAGACUUUUUUUAAUUAAAACUUUUUGUAUUCAUUUGUCUAAAAUUUAUUUUUAUAAUAUAAAAACAACUUUUGACAAUGGAUCUCUUGGUUCUCGCAACGAUGAAGAACGCAGCAAAAUGCGAUAAGUAGUGUGAAUUGCAGAAUACGUGAAUCAUCGAAUCUUCGAACGCACACUGCACUUUUUUAGUUUACUAAAAAGUAUGUCUGUUUGAGUAUCAGUAAAAUAUUCUCACAAACAUAUAUUGUUUGUGGUAUGAGUGUUUUACAACGAUAAACAAGUUGUUUCACUUUAAAUUCUUUUGUAAGUUUUACUACCAUUUACAAAUUUAAAAUGGAUAAAAUUUUCCUUUAACGAGGAAUAACCUAAACAAUUUUAAAUUUUUUGGUUUGUAAAUCCAUAAGGAAUCUAUACAUAAAUAACUUGAUCUCAAAUCAGAUAAGAGUACCCGCUGAACUUAAGCAUAUCAAUAAGCGGAGGAAAAGAAACUAACAAGGAUUCCCUUAGUAACGGCGAGUGAAGCGGGAAGAGCUCAAAUUUGAAAUCUUCAAGGUUUGACCUUGACGAAUUGUAGUUUAUAGAAGUGUUUCUGUUGGAGUUUGGUAAAAGUUCUUGGAAUAGGACAUCAUAGAGGGUGAGAAUCCGUAUUUGACCAUGACUUCCAGCUGUGUGAUACACUUUCAAAGAGUCGGAUUGUUUGGGAAUGCAGUCCAAAAUGGGUGGUAAAUUUCAUCUAAAGCUAAAUAUUGGCGAGAGACCGAUAGCGAACAAGUACCGUGAGGGAAAGAUGAAAGAACUUUGAAAAGAGAGUUAAACAGUACGUGAAAUUGUCAAAGGGAAGCGUUUGACACCAGUGUUGUUUUCUCGAAAAUCAAUUUAAUGAGUUCUUGUUUUUAAGUUAUUGUGACUCUAUCAGCGCAUUUCUUAUUUUACUUGACUCAUUGAAUGCACUUUUCGUUUAACAAGUCAACAUCAAUUUCUUUGGUGGUAAAAAGUUUAAAGGAAGGUGGCUUGGACUUCGGUUCAAGUGUUUAUAGCCUUUUUUCU